UUCCAGUACAUUCCAUAUAGAGAUCCUGCCUUAGAUCCUGCAUUUUUCAUAAAAAAUCAUGUCUUAGAUUCUGCGUGUAUUUCAUAUACAAAACCUGCCUACAAGACUACAUAACCUUUGCAUUCUCGCAUUUAGAAAAUCUGCCUAUGGGACGCUUUUACAAUUCUGCAUUUCAGCAUCUAGAAAGCAUUCUUAUAGGUCUUUCAUCAUUCCUGCAUGUAUACACCUCAAGUCAAACAACUUUAGGCUUAAUAAUAACAAACUAAUUUAGAGAUCAUGCCUAUAGGAUUAUUGCAACUGUUAAAAUCAACAACACUUAGAAACCAUGUAUGUAGAUCAAUUAACUGAAUCAACCUCGUUUUUGAAUCUAAAACCCAUCUUAAAAUUUGCAAAUCCCUUCUUCUAAAAUUAGUAAAGGUUUUCCUUAAAAUAAGUAUACUUUUGCAUUAUUAGAUAUCAUGCCUAUAAGUUUCACAUAGGCAAGCUGGUAGGUAAUUGAUUAACUGUAUCAGUUUUGAUAACUACAUCUAGUCAAGGCUAAUUCGGACUCCUCAUCUGGAAAAUAUGUGUUAAUUCAUCCUUUCCUACACUUUGCUUAAUUAACGAGCCAAUCAGUAUUUGCAAGUCAUGCUAAACUAUUUGCUGCUGUGAGUGAGGAGGCCUACUAGAGCCUUAACUACUAUUUGCUCCCUUUUAGAUGCUAUUUGUUAUUGCCUGUUGCCUUGAUUCUUUAUCCUUUUAAAAUUCUGAAAAAUCCCCAACUGCUUCCCCUUUAGGAUUUGUAGUCUCAAUACCUCCGAGAUUGAUAUGAUUGGAGCAGGUAAUAGCAUGCAAUAAGUAACGAUACCAUUCCACACUUUAAUACCUUAACAGGGUGGGAAAGGUAGAUAUAGAUAUGAUGACUGGUGUUCUAAUAUCACGUGUGACCCCUCUUCCGAGGAGUGAUUGCUGGAAAUUGCAUUGAUGUGAUCCAUAUAAAUUAUAAACCUAGGACCCCUCCCCUUUUAUUUGCUUAUCUUGUAAAACUAUUCAAGUCUUUUAUAAAUUUCUGUCUCUUUACCUUUCUCAAGCUUCGAUUUUUUCGCAGUGUUGUAUGUGAACCCUUUCUAUUUGAGGCCUUAAUUGCCUAAUUGAUUAUGUGAAGUCACAAUAUGACAUGUUCGGGAACCACACUAGUGGAUCUUGAGGGGUGCCUAACACCUUCCCCUCGAGAUAAUUUCUAGCCCUUACCCAAACUUUGGUUCUUCAACUCAAACCCUUUAUAGUGUCCUAAUGCACUUAAGUAUUAGGUGACGGCUCUUCAAAUGCAAACCAAAUUCCCAAAGGGAACAAGUUGUCCUCCCAAAAUGUCAUAAACCCGAUUUCGCGAGAAAAAGGAGGCAUCGACCGAGUGGCGAUGCUUCUAGGAUUUUUCUUUAGGCUUUUACCAUUUCAUGUUAUUUGUGACUUUGCUGCUUCAUUAUUGCUUUUAUUUAAUGUCUUUAUCCCUCUUCUACUUUGAAACUGACUUGGUUUUUGUUUCUUUUUCUUCAAUGCUUUCAUUUACCGCUUCCCUUCAAUACUGUGGUAAUUAUGAGCAAUUAUUGUAAUUAUUACUGUAGGAACGUGCAAAUACGUGAGAACUUGCUUCAUUCUUGUAAUUGCAUCUUCAACAACAUAUUCCAGUCGUGCCAAACACAAUACCAUAGCAAUGAUUAUAAUGAGUGGUUGCGCUCUUCCAAUAUUAUCAUCCCCUAAAUUUGGCAAUGGCAUAUUUGCGGUAAAACAUGUUGAUCAGCAGUGCAGUCGAUGGCUCCGUUCCUUUUCCUCUUGAGUUGUCCGCUCAAGGGUACUGGUAUAAUACCCCAUAGAAACUAUACUCUAUUUAACAGUGCAUGCAUCAUGGUCAAACCUAGCCAAGUCAGUUAUGUUGUCCACAUAAUGACUCUUUAAGAUAGCCUUGUCCAAAGUACAUUGGGUUCCCUUGGAACCCAAACAGACACUACCACAUCUGUGCAUUUAUUUAGAGAACUAAAUGCUGCUUAUGCUAAUUAUUGAUUUAAUAGUCGAGUCUAGCUGGGGAUAAGUGACUAACACUUUAUUUUGCAGAAAAUGAGGCACAAAGUCCUCAGAUUCAGCAUGGUAACCAAUAUUCACCCAAGGUUGCUAAGCUGGUGGGAAGACCUUCACUCUAGUGAUUAGACUCUCGUCCACAAAUAUUUGGGAAAUUUACCUUCUCUUUUGGAAAUCCAAUCGGACAACAAAACCAUAGAGGCUUCAACUUUAUUAUGGUAUAAAGACCAAUUUGUGUUUUGCUUUGGGAACCUUGAAACGAUACCUCUGCUCAAGGAAAUAUGAGGGUUAGCCGGUAUCCCUUGGGAGACUCCGUGUUUGCUUAUGCCACAAAAUCGCAAGGGUAGGGGUUUUCUCAAGAUGAUGGGACUAAAGAAAAACCCAGGCUUGACCUAUUUGAAGGACUCUUACAUUCCUUUCGACUAUCUGUACAAGAGGUACGGCCAUAGCAAGUCCUACUGCACUUACCUAGAUGAAUUUGCCCUCACCUCAUUGGGGCAUAUCCAUAUGAUAGUCUUCGUCUUUAUGUUCUGCAUUUUGGGGGUGAUAGUAUUUCCUAUGAAGAAGGCUAGGAUCUAUACCAGACAAACCAUGGUCGCCAAGACUCUAAUAGAAGGGAUUGGCGGGCAACCUUUCAGCAUAGGACCAAUGAUUGUCACAGAGAUAUACCGAGCCCUAAAAAACUAUCAUCAAGGGGCCAAUAACUUUGAGGGUUGUAACUUACUACUCCAACUUUGGCUCAUGGAGCACCUCCAAAAGGGUGAAUAUUGGCAAGAGAUUUUGCGCAGAGAGUGGGAUGAUCAUGUCGACUUCCUUCGGCCCAGUAGAAUGAACUAUAUGCCUAACAUGUUUUCUCAACCAGGAGAUGCUAAAGGGUGGGUAGAGUUUUUCGAAAAUCUGAAGGAAGACCAAGUGAAGUGGAUGUUUGAGUGGUUCCCUACUGAAGAGUUCAUCACUCGAUCUUCGGAUGCACCAUUUCUUAUACUCAUUAGUCUAAGGGGAACUUAUCCUUAUGUUCCUCUCCGAGUUAUGAGGCAGGUAGGGAGAAAGCAGGUUAUACCAAGGGUCGAUAAGAUGAGUCACUUUAGGGCCGACAUUCAAGAUGACGAUAGCCCUCACAACUGCCAGGCUCAACACAUGUGGCACUGAAAAAUCAUCCUGGGAAAGGAUUCCAUAGAACCAGACAGGUACCAUGCUGGUUAUACCCCAUACUAUCCAAGUUGGUUGGAAGAUGAUCACAGUGGGUUAGGAAAACCCGGGUUUGUUUGAGAUCAUAGGGUCAUAGAUGAAAAGACUGAAGUAUAUGUUAAGUACAACCAAUUGUGCAGGAGGAUUCGAGAGUGCAAAAGCAAACAUAGGGAAAUUCAAGAAGCACAUCCGAAGUUGAUUGAAGAAUGGAAAGAUAUGGUUGUCGGCGCCAAUAAGGGACAGGGAUAUUUGGAGCGGGGUUUAGUAGAGUUAGAAAGGAAGUUCAUCUAGAGGAUUGAAAACGGCCAUCAUGCUUAUGGAAAUGAAUGAGGACACUUGGCUAGAGCUUAUUUGCUGCUUGGACUGUGUGAAGUUGUUCGAUGGAGCUAAAGAUGCCGAGUCUGGGGAAGGUCCUUUUGGGACCAAGUAGUUAGGAGUCUUUUAUUUUGCUUUAAAAUGUAAUAAGACCAUUAGUGGCAGUUUGCUUUAUACUAUUUUAGUGUCGUUUAGGGAUUCGUCUUACUUUUAUCAAUAAAAUGAGGCACUUAGCGUUAUAAGUUCUCCAAAAUAACUUGUCGCUAGGCCUACUUGGGGCACAACGAGGCUCCUAAAUUAGGAUACAAUUUAUAUUCUUGCACUAAGUGUUUAAAUAUUGCAACAUUUUCUUCUCAUAAUCCGCGCUAACUUGUUACCUUGUUUUGGUUUUUCUUUUGUUUUAUUUCCCUCCCCAAAAGGUUAGUUCAUGCACUCUAGCAUCAUAAUACUACUCCACAAGAUCCAAGGGCCCUCCACCUCCUCCAUCUCCGAGUCCUACCAGAAAAAAAUAGAUAGAAAAUGGAAGAUUUAAACAACUCAGCCGAAAGGGUAGAUGUUCCUCAGAGUAUUUAGAUUUCCAAAGAAAGUGCCGCCCAGCUCGAACACAAGUUAUUGAAAUUUCAGGAAGAACUGGACCAAGUUCGGCACUUAGCUAAUUUAUCAUUUUCCCUCACUACCCCAGAUGUAAACUUUCUCAAUGCUCAAAAUCCUACACCUACACAACACUGCAACACAUGUCACAAUUCAAAUAACACCCCACUACUCAUUCGCAAAACACUAAAAUCAACAAAUGAUAAACCCCACAACACCCCAUCUAUGUGGAAACCAUACCACACUAUACUCAACUUAUUUCAAGCACAACAGAGUCUGAUGAAAAAGACUCUCUUAUCAGGAAGUUAGCCGCAGAACUCAAGAAGCUGACUAGCCGAUUCCAGGGUGUUGAAGGAAACAAAGGUAUCGAGGGUCUAAAUUACGAGGACCUUUGUAUUUAGCCAGAUUUCGAACUCUCGGAGUCGUACAAACCUCCCAAGUUCUAGAUGUUUGAUGGCACAGGGGAUCCGAGAGUUCAUUUGAGAACCUGCUGCGACAAGCUGGUUGGGUAUGAAAAGAUUUGCAUGAAGCUCUUUAUGAGAAGUCUGAAAGGGGAUGCUCUAUCUUGGUACAUCAGCCAAGACCCCAAGAAGUGGACAAACUGGGUAAGAAUUUCGUCCGAUUUCAUGAGCAGGUUCUGAUUUAAUACGGAGAACGCGCCACAUGCAUUCUACAUCAAGAAUGUGAAGAAGAAACCUAUACAGACAUUCUGCCAGUAUGCUACUCGUUGGAGAUUAGCGGCUUCUAAGGUCAGGCCGACCUUAGAAGAAGGACAGAUAAGCAAGUUUUUAGUCCGAGCUUAGGACCCAUAAUAUUUUGAGAGGUUGAUGCUGAUUGAAGGCAAGAAAUUCUUCGAUAUCAUCAAGCUAGGAGAAAGGAUCGAGGAAGGCAUUAAAAGUUGUAUGGAAACUAACUUUGAAUCAUUGUAGGCCACCAACAAGGCUCUACAGUCUGGUGGCGCAUACAAGAAAAGGGAUGUGAGUGCCGUGUAGUUGCAUAGAGAACAAAAUCCCCAAAAAAAUACCAAACCUACCCAAUAUCACCUCUAACAUAUCAAGCUACCCCUAGUUACCAAGCAUACUCUGUCACACCUCCACUGUACACCCCCGCAAAAGGGCGUAAAGGAGUUUUUCCAAUUAAAGGACAAUCAUAACAGGAUUUAUUAUUAAGAUUCAGAGUCACCACUUGGGAGAUUAAUGGUGUCCCAAGUCACCGGUUGAAUCCCGAACCGAGGAAACAGAUGACUCUGUUCACAAUGUGCAAACCACAAAUCCAGAUAAGGAAUUAUGUUAACCCGAGAGAAGGUGUUAGUGCAUUCCCGGGUUUCGUGGUUCUAGCACGGUCGCUCAACUGUUGCACUUAGCUUUUAUUUGAUUUUAUUACAUGAAGAGCCUAUGUGACAAUUUUACUUUUUACCACUUUUAUUUAAUAUAUAUUUAUUUGAGAGAGUGAACGUUGUUUAAAGCGUGUUUUUGGAUUGCGCCGCAUUAAAUGAACCUGCAAUCCUAAACACACUCUAUUCAACGUUAUAGGAUUUGAAUUUGGGCCACAUAAAAUGCCCACCCUUAUUUAGGAAUGUAAUUUAUUAAAGACGCGUCUAAUAGAGUCUAACGUGUUGUAAUCUUUUGGGAGGGCCGUGAAAUUCAUUAAAUGGUCCUUCACGAUUAUCUAAAUAUCUUUUAGACCUUUAUUGAGGGCGCCACAAUUUUGUACUUUUCUUGUGCGAGGCUCAUCUCAUUUAUUUUAAAAGUAUAAACCUAAAGGUAACUAUAUUUUCUAUUUUUUUAAUUUUUAUUUCUAAUAAAGAAAGAAGGAUCCUAAAUGAUUAUAUUAAAAUCCAAGCCUUAAGUUCAAGUCCGGAUAAAAAAAAAAGGGCGGACAUUUUAGUUUAACAUCCGCUACCUAACUCAAAGCCCAAAAUUAGCCAAUUAUUUACUAAUGAAUCAAUUGCCAUUUCAUCUUCGGGACAUGAAAUUCCCACACCAUAUCAUGUACGCCAGCCCAUGGAUCUUGGCCACAUAGGAAGGGUUUUGUACUAAUCCAUAUCAAACCACCUGGAAGUCGAGGGUCGAACCUUCCCCAGCAUUGGCGUCCAAGACAUUAUUCAUCUAUUUUUUCCCAGACUUGGGCCUGCACGCCUCAAAUUGGCCAACACUGGACCAGUCCUUUAAUUCCAAUCCACGAGGAUCCAAUCAGUGUUAACAAUGCAACAAUAUGGAGAAGCUAAUGAUUUAAACUUGAAUGUGACAGCGUAUUUUAAGCAAUUUAAAGAACGAUUCACUACCCACUAGUGAUUAUGAACCUAAUUUCUUAAUCAAUCUCAUAUUAGCUAGAAAUUCACACUCAAUUACCUAUUGAUUUCAAUAUUAUUUACAUGAAAUUAAAUUAAUUCAUGAAAUGACUAGGAAUAUCUUUUGACUUAAAAUCAAAAUCUCGAUAAUGUAAGUUAAAAGCAAGCAAUUUCUAAUUACCAAUUCCUGUUAACAAAUUGAACUACUUGUGAAAAUAAACUAUUGUUUGUUGAAACUAAACUAAACCAGAGCAAUAGUUAGCUGCUAACCACAAUCCAGGCAAUAUUUCUAAAAAAACAAACAGUCCUGAAUAUUUCGAAUUAACAAACAACACUAGAUUUCUAGUGGAUAGACUAUUUUAUACAUCAAAAUUAAAACAACAAUGAAAUAUAUUCAGAGAACAACUCCAAUAGCCUUUUACUUCAUUUCCAUAAGCUUGAGAUCUACAAGUGUGUACCUGGUAGAGGAAUUUAAUAGAAGAAGAAGAAGGUCAGCCUCAGCAGGUAGCAAAUCAACAGGUAACAACCAGCCACAAUAAGAGUGAUUUUCGAAUCAAAACCUAGUUUCAAAGCCCUAGGAAUGAACUCAAAAGUUCAAUUGAAAUUUCAGCACUCAACCACAACCCACAUGAACUCGAAAUAAUAGACCAAAACAAACCUCGAACCUCAGCACCCAAAACAAAAACAAAAUGAACUCGAAUUCAAAUGCAAACAGCUUCUAAUUCUCAGCUACCCUUUGUUGAAUCAAAGGAUCGAAUUACACUACUCAAACUUGAAAUUAAGCUAAAAUGACCAAUAGAACAGUGACUUUGUUUUGGUUUUCUAUUGUUUUUGAUUUUUUUGUUUUCCUUUUGUAGAAUGCUAAGAUCUAAGGGAUUUCAGAUAUGAAAAUGUUAAUUCAGAUCUUGAAUAUUGGGGAAUACUUUAUGCAAAAAAGUUUAGGCUACCAAACUUGAUGGCUAAGGCAUUAUUCAUAUCUUUUUAUUGGCCAAAAGAGGGCAGUCCCUUAAAACUCUUAUUUACCCUAUUAGUCCUUCUUUUUUAUUGAGUUAGUUCCUUAGUUAUUAACUUGUUACCCAAGCUAGUAUCCUAAAUUUUCUAAAAUCUAACUUGAACCCCAUUCUAGAAGAUUCUAAGGUGUUCUAUUCCAAUCUACAUCAUUCCAUCCUAUUACUAAAGCCUAAAAUACCCCUGAGCUUAAUACUAAAUUGCAGCUAUAACCAAACAAUACCUAAACUCUGAAUUUACCAACUACUGAAGAAAACUCCUGUUAACCCACCAACUGAAUCACAUUAACACUACCUUAUGGAAUCGUGAAUUAACUACUCUAUAUUGUUAAACCAAAUUGAAAAGAAAACAAACACAAGCUCAUCUCAACAAAAUUAAUAGCCAAAAGGAAAACGACCAAAAUUAUUAGACAGGAAAAAAUGGAAUCAACCAUAAAUAAAGCUAAAAAUGGGUGCCUAUGAUUGAAAUCCAAUUACUAUCUACAUGGCCAAGGAAUUCGGUCAAAAGGGAGCGACGGAGGGGGACAUAAUUUGACUAUUGAACAGAAAUAAGAAGAAGAUUGAAAUGAGACAAAUUGACAGAAGAAAUGAAAUAAACAAAAGAGAGAGAGAGACUCAUCAGCUUGACUCGAAUAUCCACCUCGAAUUUCUGCUACAAAACCCAACUUGAUGACAGUCAUCCAUUCCCCGUCAAGAAAACGUGCAAACGAUGUGCCCGGACAUGUAAAAGACCUCAUAAGAACGACUUCACUCAGACCUCCGAUUCUUUUGAUUUCGAGCCGCAAUUGGUAUUUAUCACAGGUUCUUGUCAAGAACCAAUAUGAAACAACAAUUACUGCUCUUAACCAGUCAUUGAAGCUUGCAAAUUUGGGAAACUUUGUCUACUGUUUCCAAUUUUGUUUCGAAGAAAAGGAGUGGUUCUUAAAAAAAAAACAAAUCAUGUAUAUGGAAUGGGGACAUGAAGAUGGUUGUUUGGUCAAGUUUUCAAGCAGUUUGGAGGUAGAUCGUCGCCGCAUGGCGACUUCCGGUAGUGGUGACAGGCGGUGAGGAAUGAGAAACGAAGGUGAUGAUAGUCUUAGGUUCUUCAGACAAUUGUAAUAAGAUAGUGAAUGUGAUUGGGGCCCUUGGAUGAGAAAGAAUGGAGGGACAAGAUUAAAAGAUCACUUACUAAACCCAAAACGAAGUCAUUUUUGCUAGUAAGACUUGGACUGGGUUGAAGAUAAAGAAUCUGGGCUGGCCGGCGGAUCAAUGGCCCAACUUUGGCCCUUUUAUAAGACUACUUCUUUUAACUUUGUUUUUUUCUUCUUCUUUUUUUUUUCUUUUAAUUCUUUUCUUUUUAUACAAUUUGUUUUUCGUAUUUUUCUGAUUUUAUAAAAGUGCAAAAAUAAAACUAAAGUUCUAAUACAUUUCAAAGCUACACAAAUUAACUCCUAAAAUUGUUUAAAACUAUUUCACGACAAAUUCUCAAUUAAAAUGCGAAAGUGAACUAUUUUUGUGAUUUUUCAUGCUUUGUUCUAAAAUAAAUUAAUCUCUAAUUAAUACUAAAAUAUGAAAUUAAAUCUUAAAUACAUAUUAUUUGUAUUUUCAUAUGAAUUAUCAUGCACAAAUAAAAUACAAAUAACACAAAAAUUUGUAAAAAUAAGGAAAAAUAUUUUUGUUUGUAUUUUGUGGGAACAAUUGUCAUAUACGGCAAAAACCACGUGCUCACAACUUCCCCACUUUGCUUGGAAACGUGAAAAGUUUUCGGGCAAAGAUAAGUGAGCAAAUACGAACGAUUUUUGCCUAUUUGAAAAUUUUGCAUGAAGCAUUUUGCAAAAGUUUUGACCGCAUCCUGCUUCAGAGGUUGCCUACAUAUCCUUGGCUAAACAGGAAUUAGGUCAGUGUAGCUCGGGAGUGUCUGGUAGCUGGGACUACCAGGAGCUGUAAUUUCACUGCAAUUGCUGCUGCUACUGCUCGCUGACCUUCCUUAUUACAUCGUGUCAAAAAUAAAGAUGCUAGCAUAAGCUAUGAAAUAUGGAUUAAAAAAGUCCUAUCUAGAAUCUUCAAACUUGCAUCUUGUACUUCCUUGUUGUCUUGUUAUCUUGUGUUUCCUUGUUGGAAUCCAUUGCCGUUACUUCAACUUGCUAACUGAGAUGUUGUUCCUUCUCUCCACCUUGCUGAACUUGUAUAAACUUGAACUGGAAUGUAUUCCUCUAUUAUCCAGGAGGGCUCCUGACUUCACAAAAAUACACAAAAAACAAAGAGAACUUUCUACUCCAGUUUGGAAAACUGGGUGCUUGUUACCAUAUAUUAUUAGAAAUUGAAAACUUGAAUUAUGAUAAUACUGAAAUGUAACUGUAAAAUUUAAAGAGUGAAAUAUAUUCCUAUAUUAUCCAGGCGGGCUCCUGACCUCAAAACAUGAAAUUUUAAAGACUGAGAUGUUUCAAAAACUUCAAAUUCAAAGACUGAAAUGUAUUCCUCAGUUAUCCAGGCGGGCUCCUGACUUCACAAAAUAAACAAAACAAAGAAACUUUCUCCCCAAUUUGGAAAACUAGGCUCCGGAUACUAAUACGAAUUCGAAAACUAAAACUUGAAUUGUGAUACCUCUGUUCUCUAGGCGGGCUCCUGACUUCAAACUUGAAUGUAUUCCCUUGUUAUGCGGGUGGGCUCCCGACCUCUAAAUUUGAACUUGAAUGUGUUCCCUUGUUAUGCGGGUGGACUCCCACCUCUGAAUUUGGACUUGAAUGUAUUCUCUUGUUGUCCGGGUGGGCUCCCGACCUCUGAAUUUGAACUUGAAUGUAUUCCCUUGUUAUGCGGGGGUGGGCUCUCGACCUCUGAAUUUGAACUUGAAUGUAUUCCCUUGUAGUCCGGGUGGGCUCUCGAUUUCUGAAUUUGAAUUUGAAUAUAUUCCCUUGUUAUGCGGGUGGGCUCCCGAUCUCUGAAUUGGAACUUGAAUGUAUUCCCUUGAUAUCUGGGUGGGCUCUCGACUUCUUAAUUUGAACUUGAAUAUAUUCCCUUGUUAUGUGAGUGGGCUCCCGACCUCUGAAUUUGGAGUUGAAUGUAUUCCGUUGUUAUCCGAGUAGGCUCCUGACCUCUGAAUUUGAAAUUGAAUGUAUUCCCUUGUUAUGCGGGUGGGCUCCCGGCCUUUGAAUUUGGACUUGAAUGUAUUCCCUUGUUGUCCAGGUGGGCUCCCGACUUCAUAAAAAUAGACAAAAUAAAGAAAGAUUUACGCCCCAGUUUUGAAACUGGGUACAUGUUACUAGGCAUUUAAUAAGAAUUGAACACUAAAACUCUAAUUGUAAUACCUCAGUUUUUCAGGCGGGCUCGUGAUCUCAAAGUUUGAAAAUGUAUUCCUCCAAAAUCUAGGCGGGCUCCUGAUUUCACAAUAACAUACAAAAAUAAGAAUAAUUUGCUACCCCAGUUUGGUAGCUGGGCACGUGGGUGACUAUUACUGAAUCAUAAACCAACUAUUACUAUGAAUUUGAAAGCUAAGUCCUAUUAUCCAGGGGGUGGAGGGUCCUGAAAAUUCCUACCAAUUAUGAACCAGAUUUAUAUUUUCUAAAGGUAUUUCUCCCACUACACUAUGCCAUUUAAAAGGUUUUGAACUACAUCCUAUUAUUCCGGAAGGUCUUGACCGCUCCUACUUGAAUUCUAUCAUAAACAUGCUAACUUUCAUUCCCCGUGUUAUUCCUGAAUAUUCUUGUAUUUCAAUCACACCAUACUUUGCGGUCGAACUUGAUUACUGCUUGUUUUUCCUUUAUGGAGAAUUCCUCCUGAAUAAACAACUUUUCUGCCCCUGUUUCAAUAAGAAAAAAUUUCUUCAGUUUAAAAUGGUGGUUAGUUGAUGGCAUUCUUGCUAAAUAUCCUUCCACCUCAUUGCUUUGCAUUGAGUGGAUUCCUCGAACUGACCUUGAACCGCUUGAACUUCUGCCCAACUUUCAACCUCUGACUUGUUACAACCCGAAUGUUCUGUACCCACGCUAUUGUUUCACCUUUCUGACCCCUUUAUCUAAACCUUUGCAUUUCCCAUGAUAGUUCCCCAGUCACCCCACCAAUGAAACAUUCCGGUAAUUUCCUACAUUCCUCCUUACAUCAUGUUAUCCUUGGCGUACUCCGACCACACUAUGUUUUACAAUUUCGAAAGCUGGUAGUGAGCUUAAAAAUUCCUUCCCGGUUGCUUUGAAUCAAGACUGACAUAGAAACAUAUUAUACAGAUAAAACCCCUCAAAAGAAAAUGAAAUGCAAUGAUUUUACGAGUUAGGUAUAAAAAGAAUCCCAAACCAAAUAGCUGUUAAAAGGGAAAAAGAAAAGAAACUUAUCUGACCGGAACAGCUGGCACCAAGGAUCAUGACAUACAUUUCGGAAUAAUCGGCCCAACCUGUCCAACUAACCAGCUCUCAGUUUCCAUAACUCAUUGCCCUGAACUUCCAUCACUUGUUUACUUCAAUCAAACCUUAUCAAUUUUUAUCCUACAGUGCCUUGAAACCAUUUUCACUCACAGACCUUUCACAGUUUUCUAUUUCUCAUCUCAGUUUCUCCUUAAGGUUCCCGUGAAGGUUUUCUCGACUAAGACUCUCUCAUUUUAUUUUCUCUCGGCUUCUGUCGCCAUACGGUGGCCAUGAGGGUUUUCACCAAUAAGACUCUCUCAUUUUUAUCUUUUGUUCUUUUGAACCAGAGUGUUAUCACUGCCACAAAUUACCGCUACCUGCUCGACUUGGCAUUUACCAAAAACUGAUCAGAAGGUCUUCCUUUGGACUGUAAUGUGGGUUUUCGGAUAAGGUUAGAAAGAAAUGAUAUAAAGGCUCGAAACUAUUUCAAAAUAGGUUAAAACUAAAACUUUCAGAAUUCGAUUUCUUUCAACAAUCACAACUUCUGCCCAGUUUCUUGCUUGGGGGCUUUUGGAAUUUUAUUUUGGUAUGACUGAACCGCAGAGAGGCUGCCUACGUACCCUUUGGGGAUCAAGUCAAACGUAGUUCACUUAAUAGAAUUUACUUUGUUGUGAAUUUCUUUUAUGUUCUUUUCCUUUCACUUUUCGUUUCUUUCCUUUUCUUUUCUUUUCUUUUCUUUUCUUUUUCUUUUGUUUCUUUUCCAAUUUUAUUUUAUUUUUUCCUUCUUUUCUCUUUUCUUCCUUUUUUUUCCUUUUCUUCCUUCUUUCCUUUUAUGUACUCGUCUUUGGCACUUGCGUUUCUUAAUUGUGCCAUUGAUUCUGAAAGAGGGGUACGAAAGAAAAUAAGUACGACUCAAAAUGGGUGACAAAUGAUAAAGUGUUUCAGAUAGCAAAACGAAACGCUUUCAUCAUUUCAAUCAUAAAAAUAUACCAAAUACAAAACUAGUACAAUCAGAAUAAAGGAAAUAUACAGAGUACCUCUUGACCAUAUCAGAAUUGAUUGUAAUUUCUACAUAUUUUCCUUCCACAUCUGUUAGAUAUAAUGUACUGCUAGACAACACUCUGGUUACCACAAAUGGCCCCUGCCAGUUUUGAUCAGAUUUUCCUUUUGCUUCAGCCUGAUGAGGCAAGAUACGUCUCAACAAUAAUUGUCCCAUUUCAAGUUUCCUCGGACGCAUUUUCUUGUUGUACGCUUCUGCCAUUUUGUUGGUACAAUUGGUCGUGACGUAGUGAUACUAAUUCUUAAAUCUAACUGUUCAAGGCGGGUGAAAUCGUCAUCAUGUUCCAAAUCAUUACCACACUCGAUUUAUUGUAUUAUUAUUCAUAAUAAGGCCGAUUUCAAGACUAGGCCGAAGAUUCCUCGUGCAUGUCAUGUUAUUGAUAUCAACAUAAAAAUAACUGUAUAGAGAGGAAAAAUAAACUAAAACAAAAUUAAGAAGAAGGAAAGACAAUUGCAUUCCAUUGAAGGAAAAGAUAACAGGGGUUUAACUCAUGCAAAUGGACGGAACAUAGUAUCUAGACUACAGACCCUGGAAUAAUCCAGAUAGUUUAAAGAAAAACAAAACCCACUACCAAAACUUCCAAUCAUUGACUUUUGCCCGUGGUAAGGCGAACUGCGCAUUUGCUUGCUUUCCCCUUCCUUUGCUUCAACCAUAUUUACCUUGGUAAAUAACCUUUUGAACCCAUUUCCACGUUUCCAUCCACACCACUCAAUAACCUAAGAACCUUUGGCGACAGCGGCUUAUUAUCCACCCCUUUCAACUGGACCACCAUUUUCUCACUUGUCGACUUUUCGUUCAAAUUGGUUUUGCUAGAACGGAUUACCGUCUACGAAGGUUUCUUAGUUUUUCCUCAUUUAUGCGUCAAGUCUAUCAUAUGAGCCUCAUGGUGAGCUGGCAGCGGAUUCUGGUCAGUGUUUGGUGCCUUUGGGUGCUGAACCUUGAUCCUGUUUGUGUCAAUAAGCUCCUGCACAGCAGUUUUCAACCUCCAACAUUUAUCAGCGUCAUGUCCGGGGGCUCCUGAACAGUAUUCACAGCUCACAGAGUGAUCCAAAUUUUUAUGAAGGGGAUUUGGCGUCUUGACUUCAACCGGGGUCAGCAAGCCUAACUGCCUCAGUUUGUGGAAAAGAGUGGUAUAGGAUUCUCCCAGCGGAGUGAAUGUUUUUUUGUUCUGGACUCAUUUCUAAAAGCUUAGUUUGGGCGGAAGCCGGAUCCUGGUUUGUAAUCCCUUGGGUAUGGAUAUAUGUUUUGUGGAGCUAGAUAUGUGCUUUUGGGAACCGGUGCACGCCACUGCGGGUGAGCCGGAAGCUGGGUGUCUGUUUGGGCGUGGUGGACGGAAACGUGUGGCUCUGGUGGUGGAUUGUAGGGUUGUGGAGGGCCGUAUGAGGUAUAUGGAUAAUAACAGUAUUCAAAGCUCACCGAGUGGUCCAGAUUUCUACGAAGGGAAUUUGGUGUUUUGAGUUCAACUAGGGUCAGCAAGCCUAACCGCCUCAGUUUGUGGAAAAGAGUGGCAUAGGAUUCUCCCAGCAGAGUAAAUACCUUUUUUGUUCUGGACCCACCAUCUCAUUUCUAAAAUCUUGGUUUGGACGGAAGCCGGAUAUGCGCAUUAGGGAAUCGGUGCACGCCAUUGCGGGUGAGCCGGAGGCUGGGUGUAUGUUUGGGCGUGGUGGAAGGAAAAAAUGUGGCUCUGGUGGUGGAGGUUCGUAUGAGGUAUAUGGGUAAUUUGGGUGAUGGGGUCUAGGUUGGUUAUAGUAGAGUGGAGGGUUUCUGAACGGGGACUAAGUACUCGCUUCUACUGUUGCAACUUCUUCUUUCUUUUUCUUUAUGAGAACACCACCAGUGCCGCCUUGGAUAGACUGGGUGGUGGCUUUAAGUACGGAAUAGCUUACGAUCUUGUUUGAUUUCAUUGCUUCCUCAAUUAUUGUCCCCAUCUUUACCACUUCAUUGAACGACUUGCCAACUGAUGUUACCAAGUGACCAAAGUACGUGGGUUCCAAGGUCUGCAAAAAGUAAUCUAUCAUUUCUUUUUCCCUCAUUGGAGGAUCAAAUCUCGUGGCCUGCUCCCUCCAACGGAAACCAAACUCUAUAAUACUCUUCCCUGGCUUUUUCUCAAGUUUCGACAAUGACAGACGGUCGGGGACUAUCUCACGGUUAUACUGAAAGUGGCCGAUGAAUGCUUGUGCCAAGUCAUCCCAUGUAUACCAUCUUCUGGGAUCAUGUCUCGUGUACCAUUCCAGCGCAGACCCGAUCAAGCUUUGACCGAAAUAGGCUAUCAACAAUUCAUCCUCCCCCCAGCACCUCUCAUCUUACUACAAAAGCCACACAAAUGGGCUACUGGGUCAUCGUUCCCCUCACACAAGUCAAACAUUGGCAUUUUAAACCCCGCAUGCAACUGAAGAUCGGGAAAUGGACAUAGGUCUUUGUAUGCCAUGCUGACUUUUCUGCCUAAACCAUGCAUGUUCCUAAAAGAUAUCUCCAGGCUUUUGACUUUACGAAUUACUUCCUCUUGUUAUGCAUUCUUAACUGGCUUCUCAACUUCUUCGGGGAUCUCAAAAUGAGGGGUAUAGGUGUACGACUUAGGAGCUUUAAAAAGUGGGUUCAGGAGGGUAAUACUGAGCAUCGUGAGCUUGGAAUAGUGGCUCACCAGAUGAUCUUUGUAAUGUGGCUGGAGAAGGUGCCACAAAGAUUGGAGCCAAAGGUGGAAGAGGGUUCUAUUUGGGUGGUAGAGCUGGAAGAAUGUAUGAAGUGGUAGCAUAGCCUUGGGUGUGAUAUGGGAAGGAUGGAGAUGUGUUAGGAGUAGGAGGCUCCUGAGACUGCACUAGAGGUGGGAUAUAAGACAGGUUGGUGGGGUACAAAGGUGCCAGGUGCCCCUGAGACCAAGCUUGGUACAUUUCAGCCAUCUGUGUUUUCAACUUCCUCAUCUCUUCUUUCAUGGUACCCACAUCAUUCACCUCGACCUCUUUUGUACGGUCCAAAAUACUAGAGUCAGAUUCCUGUCAUGUCAUCUUAUCUUUCUAUCGAGUGUUGUACGGGUGAGUUGCCAGAAUUGCCAAUCAACUAACCACCUGCCUGGACUCAACAUCAACAAUAGCUUGGUUAAUGGUUAGGACAUGAGAAGAUUUGAUAACCGCAUGUUGGGAAUGAAUGCACCUACACAGUUUAACGGAUUUUAUAUGCAUUUGCUCAACUGCUUGCGUCAUCCCGACUUUUUCCGUAUUUCUGAUUGCACAAUUUCUCUCUUUUCUUUUCUUCUCUUUUUUUUUCUCUUUGUUUUUGUUCUCGCCUUUGCCUUAUUUUAUCUUAUUCUCUCAUUCCCUCUUGUUUUGCUAUUGUCCCUUUUUGGUUUCUAUUUUCCCUCAUUUGUUUUCCUUUCCUCUUUUAUUUUUUACACUUUUUCUGUCAAUUUCUUUCUUGUUUUUCCUCUGUUUUCUUUUCUAUCUUUUUUCUGGUUUUUCCGCUCUUUUUUUCCUCUAUGUUUUGGUUAUGGUCAAAUCUUAUGUGGACUGCCUACGUAUCAUGACCCCGCAUGAAUCAGACCGGGCGUAGUUUGUAAGAAUAAAAGGUAAACGACUUUGGAAUUUUCAAUUUUUCAUAAUAAAACAAACUUUGACUAUAAAGGUUCUUUAAAAAAACUGACAAAGUAAAACUAAUAGCCUCUAAUGAAAAAAUAAAAGACAGACUCGAAAGUCAAACGACUUACAUACUCUAAUCCAAACAGUAUUCACUUGACCACUGACUCUUUUCAUAUUUUUCAAAUUAAAAUAAAAGACCUGAUUUGCAAACACGACCUUUCAGCGCCUCGGAGACUAAGAUUUUAAGGUGUGCGGGUCAACUGGCCAAAAUCUAAAAAAUGACCAAAUGGUGGCUGUUUAUGCAAAGUCAACCUCCGGCAUCCCUUUUGAGAACAAAACGUCAUUACCUUAUUUAUUUAUGAAAAAAUUAAAAUUUUAAUUCUUUUUGCAAAGGGGAUCUUGGACCCGAUGAGGGUUGCAUAUGUAUCUCACGCACUGUGAUGAUAAAACCAUGCGUAGUUCGGGCAGACUAACAGAACUAUAUUAAAACAAGACUCUUCUUCAUUUUUGUUUUUUCAUUUCAAGUAAAAUAAAGAAAACUAUUUUUAAAAAAAUAAGACUCUUUUUUUGUUCUUUUCCUUUUUCAACAAACAAUAAAAUAGCCUAAAGAUAAAAGACUCUUUUCUCUUUUUUUUCUCAUUUUAUAUGGCAAAACAAACUAUUUUUCCUUUUCUAUUUUUUGAAAACAAGACAAAACAACGACUCUUUUUUUCUUUUCAUAUUAAACAAAACGACCUAUUUUACUAAACUAAAAUAAAGACUCUUUUCUUUUUCCUUUUAACAACAAAGUGAAAUAUGUUUUUUCUUUUCUAACAACAAAGUGAAAUAUGUUUUUAACAACAAAGAGAAAUAUGUUUCGACAUUACUUGGGCAUUGGUUUUUCUAAAACAAGAAAUUAACUCUCCAACUGCUAUUUUUCUAUUUUCUAUUUCUUUUUUUCUUUUUUUCUUAAUUUUCUAACAUUCCCGAGAUUCAGAAGCCGGUUAACAUGCAAGCCGGAGCAAAUAAAUGCACAAAAAACAAGUAGGAUGCAUCAGGAUAGUCUUUCCAUUCCAGGUUGCUAGCCCUAGACAGACCCAACCCCUGUGUUGAGUCCCCUAAGUCAAAAUGCAUAUGAUGCAAAUAAGCGUUCCUACUAUGGAUCUGACAUGAGGUUAAGUUAUUCUAGGUUCAAAACCUGGGUGUUUGUUCUAGACCUGGCUUACCCGAGCGGACUGCUGGAGCCGAGAGGGAGGCGGCAAUCCAAAAAUACAGAAGCUUCGCCGGCUUUGAGACUUAUCCAAACCUCAUUCUAAAUUUGGAUUUGACACUAUACAUAAAAGAAGUCGUACGAAGUACCCCCUUCUUCACGAUUCAGAAGACUCAGAGAGUAGAUGGGUUUCGAUACAAUUUAUAUAUAGUUCACAUAAUAUCAAAGCAGUAAAAGGGAAAUCAAUUAGCACAUUAGGCACAUAUCAUGUAACAAAAUCAAACAAAUCCAAACACAACAAUUAUUCCAAGCUCGAAUUCUGAACCCUGAACCAGAGAUUCUAGGUUCUUUUCCCCAGCACAGUCGCUAGAGCCGUCACACCUCCUUUUUCACUGUACACCCCCGCAAAUGGCGUAAAGGCGUUUAUCUAAUUAAAGGACAAUCGGAAUGGGAUUUAUUAUUAAGAUUCAGAAUCGCCACUUGGGAGACUAAUGGUAUCCCAAGUCACCGGGUGAAUCCCGAACCGAGGAAAAAGAUGACUCUGUUCACAGUCUGCGAACCAGAAAUUCAGAUAAUGAAUUCUACAAACCUGGGAGAAGGUGUAGGUAUUCCCGGGUUCCGUGGUUCUAUCACGGUCGCUCAACUAUUGCACUUAGCUUUUAUUUGAUUUUAUUACAUGAAGAGCCUAUGUGCCAAUUUUACUUUCUACAGCUUUUAUUUAAUAAAUAUUUAUUUGAGAGAGUGAACGUUGUUUAAAGAGUGUUUUCGGAUUGCGCCGCAUCAAAUGAACCCGCAAUUCUAAGCAUACUCUAAUCAAUGCAUUUGGAUUUGGAUUUGGGACGCAUAAAAUGCCCACACGUAUUUAGGAAUGUAAUUCAUUAAAGCCGGGUCUAAUAGAGUCUAAUGCGUUGUAAUCUUUUGGGAGGACCGUGAAAUUCGGUAAACGGCCUUUUCCGAUUAUCUAAAUAUAUUUUAAACCUUUAUUGAGGGCCCCGCAAUUUUGUACUUUUCUUGUGCAAGGCUCGUCUCAUUUAUUUUAAAAGGAUAAACCUAAAGUUAACUAUAUUUUCUAUUUUCUUAUUUUUGUUUCUAAUAAAGAAAGAAGGAUCCUAAAUGAUUAUAUUAAAAUUCGAGCAUUAAGUUCAAGUCUGGGUCCAAACUAAAGGAUGAACAUAUUAGUUUAAUAUCCGCUGCCUAACUCAAAGCCCAAAUCUAGCAAAUUAUUUUCUAAAGAAUCAAUUUCCAUUUCACCUUCGGGCCAUGAAAGGCCCACACCAUAUCCUGUACGCCAGCCCAGCGAUCUUGGCCACAUAGGAAGGGGUUUGUACUAACCCAUAUCAAACCACCUGGAAGUCGAGGGGUCGAACCUUCCCUAGCAUUAGCGUCCAAGACAUUAUUCAUCUAUUUUUUCCCAGAAUGGGCCUGCACGCCUCAAAUUGGCCAACACUGGCCCAGUCCUUUAAUUCCAAUCCACGUGGAUACAAUCAGUGUUAACAAUGCAACAACAUGGAGAAGCUAAUGAUUUAAACUUGAAUGUGACAGCGUAUUUUAAGCAAUUUAAAGAACGAUUCACAACUCACUACUGAUCAUGAACCUAAUUUCUUAAUCAAUCCCAUAUUAGCUAGAAAUUCACACUCAAUUACCUAUUGAUUUCAAUAUUAUUUACAUGAAAUUAAAUUAAUUCAUGAAAUAACAAGGAACAUCUUUUGACUUAAAAUCAAAAUCUCGAUAAUGUAAGUUAAAAGCAAGUAAUUUCUAAUUACCAAUUCCUGUUAACAAAUUGAAGUACUUGUGAAAAUAAACUAUUGUUUGUUGAAACUAAACUAAACCAGAGCAAUAGUUAGCUUCUAACCACAAUCCAGGCUGUAUUUCUAAAAACAAACAGUCCAAAAUAGUUCCAAUUAACUAACAAUACGAGAUUUCAAGUGGAUAGACAAUUUUAUACAUCAAAAUUAAAAAAAAAAGCGAAAUAGAUUCAGAGAACAACUCAAAUAGCCUUUUACUUCAUUUCCAUAAGCUUGAGAUAUACAAAUGUGUACCCGAUAGAGGAAUUUAACAGAAGAAGAAGAAGAAGGCCAGCCUCAGCAGGUAGCAAAUCAACAGGUAAUAACCAGCCACAAUAAGAGUGAUUUUCGAAUCAAAACCUAGUUUCAAAGGCCCAGGAAUGAACUCAGGACUUCAAUGCAAUUUCAGCACUCAACCACACCCCACAUGAACUUGAAAUAACAGACCAAAACAAACCUCGAACCUCAGCACCCAAUACAUUAUAAAAUGAACUCGAAGUCAAAUGCAAACAGCUUCUAAUUUUCAGCUACCCUUUGUUGAAUCAAAAGAUCAAAUUACACUACAAAAACUUGAAAUUAAGCUAAAAUGACCAAUAGAACAGUGACUUUGUUUUGGUUUUCUGUUGUUUUUGAUUUUUUUUCUUUUCAUUUUGGAAAAUGCUAAGAUCGAAGGGAUUUCAGAUCUGAAAAUGUUAAAUUUCAG
rnacentral:lncRNA from 1 species